rnacentral:snRNA from 1 species
GGGCUCACUUCAACAGCACAUGUACUAAAAUUGGAAUGAAACAGAGAAGAUUUGAAUGGCCCAUGCAUAAGGAUGACACACACAUUCAUGAAGCAUUCCAUAUUUUU